GAAGGAGAGAGAGAAAAAGAGGAAGAGGAAAAGAGAAAAGAAAUGUGUAUGAGUUAUUUGUAUGCACUUUUUUGUGUUUAUGUUUGUCAGGGUGUUCCUCCUCUUUUCCAACUUCCCCUUCCUUCUUCUUCAUCACCAUCACCGCCUUCUUCUCUUUCGACUAUUCUCCCUUCUUUGGAGGGUUGUUGUCCCCCCUCUGUAGAAGAAAUAAAAGAGACAGCAAGAAAAUCAAAUGAUGAACAUAUCCCAAAGAUUACAGCAGCUCUCCUUAAAUCUGCUGAAAAAGA
rnacentral:ribozyme from 13 species